GACAAACACAUUAUCCUUUGUCUUUGUCUCGCAGCGAACAUCCAAUUGUUGCACCCUGAGGGAGAGAUGGCCAGCUAACUGGAAUCCGAAGCACCAAGGCAGGCAGUGGCAACCUGGCUGAAGCACAUCUUGAUACUUGCCAAACUGCUCUGUAAUUGCGACGGUGGAUUGAUCAACUUGUACACAGCCCAAUAGAUUGCCCAUACUCGAAGCAACAAAGCUAGCGAAGGAGUGAAGAAUCGAAAUGGGUAUUUCGAUAGUUAAGAUGGGUGAGUUUAUAUAUUUGGGGAUAAGUCUAUGGAGGA
rnacentral:misc_RNA from 1 species